CCGCCGGGACGGGGCGGCGUGGCUGCUGCGUAACCCCGCCAGGUCCGGAAGGAAGCAACGGUAAGUGGCGUUGCGGGUGUCCUGUCCCGGCAUUUG
rnacentral:SRP_RNA from 1 species